UGGAGAUUUACCCCUAUAAAUCUGGCUAGU
rnacentral:piRNA from 1 species